rnacentral:lncRNA from 10 species
UGGAUGGAAAAUAUUUAAACAAGAAAGGACUUGUGAUGAUGCUGGACUUUGGAUUGAUGGAGGAAAGUAUUACAUGAGUGCUUAAAGAACAUUGAGAAACAUCAAAAAGUAUUUGUUCAGUAAUGGCUUGUAAAAAAUUCAGAAAUAUAUUAAAGGAUUUAUAUAUUUUAUACCAAAUUUUUAAUAAAAGGGAAAAUAGAGAAUAUUGAAUACCUCAUUAGUCAGCACCAGCAGGCAAC